GUAGUAAAUUAAACUAUACUAAAUAAUUAUGACAAAAAAAAAAAAACCUUGAAAAAGGUGCCAUAUAAGAUAAAUCUGAUUACACAGUUCAACCUUCCAGUUUAUUGUUUAGUUGACGAUUGUUUUAACGUAUCCCAAUUGUGUUCGCCUCCUUUCCAAAUUAUUUAAAGCAUGCUGAUAUUAGAGGUUUUGUCUUGAUAACCGAAUUCACAAAAAGUCUUAUUUUAAGAAGGUGUUAGCUAAAAAUUUGACUUUAAAGUUUUAAUGUUAUUGCGUUAAUCCUUGUGUUGUCCUGCCCUUGCGGCUUUAUCUUUUAGCCUGUUUACAUUAUUUUUGUAAAACGAUACAAAACCUUUUUGUUGACAGUUGCACAGCGACAGACAGCAUCCUACCGUGUGUCCUUCACAGGAUUCUUUCAGCUGAUGUUUUAAUUGCAAAACCUUUUUCACAUCAGCUGCGGCCAUGUCAGCUCCUCACGUGCGCCGUACGCUUAUUAAAGUCUCGCCAUAUUUUUUCGUCACCUUUAUAUGGGCGGAGACGAUGUAAGGUAUUUUACCUUGUUGGAAAGACGAGAGUGCCCUCAGAAUCAGUGCACACGAGCUAUUGGACAAAUAACGACGCACCGCAAGGCGAGAGGAGGAGUUAAGCGGCUCUCUAUUCGGACCUCUCUCCCGCAGUCUGUCCUUCUCUUCCUCCUACUUCAUCUCGACAUCGGUAAGUGCGUUAUACUUGUCUUUAUACAAAGAGAUUUUUGUGGUUCAUUACAGCACCUUAGUUUAACAAGCAACGAUCUUCUUAUCAAUUACCAUUUUGACACAAGGGGGUCUUGAGUUGAUUAUAUGAAUCUUGGUAUAGGUUCUUCAGGUCAGUGUAUUGGGUUCUGGUUUUUAAAGCAACAAAAUAAUGGUGCUUGUUUUAGAGCAUGAAAGAAAAAAAUAUUUAGAUAUGAUUAUUGUAGUUACUGUUAGUGGGAAAAGUUUCUUGUUUCAUCAGGCUGUACGUUUGUAUAUGUAUAUGAUACAGUAUAUAUAUAUAUAUAUAUAUAUAUAUAUAUAUAUAUAUAUAUAUAUAUAUAUAUAUAUAUAUAUAUAUAUAUAUAUAUAUAUAUAUAUAUAUAUAUAUAUAUAUAUAUAUAUAUAUAUAUAUAUAUAUAUAUAUAUAUA
rnacentral:lncRNA from 1 species